GAUGAAGAACGUAGCGAAAUGCGAUAAGUAAUGUGAAUUGCAGAAUUCAGUGAAUCAUCGAAUCUUUGAACGCACAUUGCGCCCUCUGGUAUUCCGGGGGGCAUGCCUGUUCGAGCGUCAUUAUAACCACUCAAGCUCUCGCUUGGUAUUGGAGUUCGCGAUCUCGCGGCUCCUAAAAUCAGUGGCGGUGCCUGUCGGCUCUACGCGUAGUAAUACUCCCCGCGAUUGAGUCCGGUAGGUUUACUUGCCAGCAACCCCCAAUUUUUACAGGUUGACCUCGGAUCAGGUAGGGAUACCCGCUGAACUUAAGCAUAUCAAUAAGCGGAGGA
rnacentral:misc_RNA from 1 species